rnacentral:rRNA from 1 species
AAAGAAACUAACAAGGAUUCCCUUAGUAACUGCGAGUGAAGAGGGAAGAGCUCAAAUUUAAAAUCUGGCAGUGUCUUGCUGUCCGAGUUGUAAUCUAGAGAAGUGCUGCCCGUGCUGGACCAUGUACAAGUCUCCUGGAAUGGAGCGUCACAGAGGGUGAGAAUCCCGUCUUUGACAUGGACUACCAGUGCAUUUGUGGUGUGCUCUCAAAGAGUCGAGUUGUUUGGGAAUGCAGCUCUAAAUGGGUGGUAAACUCCAUCUAAAGCUAAAUAUUGGCGAGAGACCGAUAGCGAACAAGUACCGUGAGGGAAAGAUGAAAAGAACUUUGGAAAGAGAGUUAAACAGUAUGUGAAAUUGUUGAAAGGGAAACGCUUAAAGUCAGUCGUGUCGGCCAGGGAUCAACUCAGCUUUCUUUGCUGGGUGUACUUCCUGAUCUGAUGGGCCAACAUCAGUUUUGACUGCUGGAGAAGGAUAGAGGGAAUGUGGCACCUUUGGGUGUGUUAUAGCUCUCUGUCAGAUGCAGUGGUUGGGACUGAGGAUUGCAGCAUGCCGCAAGGCCGGGUCGUUUCGACCACGUUCAUGCUGAGGAUGUUGGCAUAAUGGCUUUAAUCGACCCGUCUUGA